AUUGAACGCUGGCGACAAGCCUAACACAUGCAAGUCGAACGAGUGGCGGACGGGUGAGUAAUGCCUGGGAAACUGCCCGAUGGAGGGGGAUAACUACCGGAAACAGUGGCCAAUACCGCGUACCAUCGGCUGCGCCCAGAUGGGAUUAGCGAGUGGGUGGGGUAACGGCUCACCUAGGCGACGCUCCCUAGCUGGUCUGAGAGGAUGACCAGCCACACGGGAACUGAGACACGGUCCAGACUCCGACGGGAGGGAGCAGUGGGGAAUAUUGCACAAUUGGCGCAAGCCGGAUGCAGUCAGGCCGCGUGUAUGAAGAAGGCCUUCGGGUUGUAAAGUACUUUCAGCGGGGAGGCGUUACUCGCAGAAGAAGCACCGGCUAACUCCGUGCCAGCAGCCGCGGUAAUAC
rnacentral:rRNA from 1 species